GACGAACGCUGGCGGCGUGCUUAACACAUGCAAGUCGAACGAAGAGCGAUGGAAGCUUGCUUCUAUCAAUCUUAGUGGCGAACGGGUGAGUAACGCGUAAUCAACCUGCCCUUCAGAGGGGGACAACAGUUGGAAACGACUGCUAAUACCGCAUACGAUCUAAUCUCGGCAUCGAGGAUAGAUGAAAGGUGGCCUCUACAUGUAAGCUCUCGCUGAAGGAGGGGAUUGCGUCUGAUUAGCUAGUUGGAGGGGUAACGGCCCACCAAGGCGAUGAUCAGUAGCCGGUCUGAGAGGAUGAACGGCCACAUUGGGACUGAGACACGGCCCAGACUCCUACGGGAGGCAGCAGUGGGGAAUCUUCCGCAAUGGACGAAAGUCUGACGGAGCAACGCCGCGUGAGGGAUGACGGCCUUCGGGUUGUAAAGCUCUGUUAAUCGGGACGAAAGGCCUUCUUGCGAAUAGUGAGAAGGAUUGACGGUACCGGAAUAGAAAGCCACGGCUAACUACGUG
rnacentral:rRNA from 1 species